CUAUGCUGUUCUGAGUGGGUUUAGUGUAUUGCUAUGUGGUUGCAAUGCUGUUCUGAGUGUUUUUAUUGUGUUGCUGUGCAGUUUCUAGG